CUGCACCUGCAGAGCCCUGUGAGGAGCCUUCCCGUGUGAGUCCAUCCCCAGUGUCCACACCAUGGGGUCUGCACUCCUCUGGGCUUCCCUCCUCAUCGCUGUCAAAGGUGCCCUGUGCGAGGUUCAGCUGGUGGAGUCUGGGGGAGGCUUGGUGCAGCCUGGAGGGUCUCUCAGCCUGUCCUGCAAAGCCUCUGGAUUCACCUUCACUGACUACAGCAUGAACUGGGUCCGCCAGGCUCCAGGGAAGGGGCUGGAGUGGGUGGCAGGAGUUAGUCAACCAUCUGGAAAAAAUCAGUGGUAUGCUCCAUCAGUUCAGGGAAGAUUCACCAUCUCCAGAGACAACCCUACCAACACAGUCUCUCUUAAAAUGACCAACCUGAAAACUGAAGACACGGCCGUGUAUUACUGUACUAGAGACACA